GAAAUGCGAUAAGUAAUGUGAAUUGCAGAAUUCAGUGAAUCAUCGAAUCUUUGAACGCACAUUGCGCUCUUUGGUAUUCCGGAGAGCAUGCCUGUUUGAGAAUCAGUAAAUUCAUCAACCCAAAGUUUUCGGAAUUUAUUCUGAGGGCUGGAAGGUUGGAUCUGGGCUGUUUGCCGUCUUUGGGCAGCAAUGGCCUGAAAUUGAAUGUUACGCUCCAUUGAACUGAAAAGUUUUGGGCAAACGCAUGAAUGAGGCAACUCAGCAGUACGUGAGCCUUUGAAACCGGUCAACUCUGUGGACGGGUAACUCAACUGAUUAACCAGGGUUUGCUGGCGUAAAGCCAGCUUAUUCUGAACACUUGGUCUCAAAUCAGGUAGGAAAACCCGCUGAACUUAA
rnacentral:misc_RNA from 1 species